rnacentral:misc_RNA from 1 species
AUGCUUCUUCUUCAAUAAUUGGCUAAUGUUAUUUCAUAAAAUUUUUCUUGCUUUUCUUUUCAUAACUAUCCCCCACUUACACCCCAAUAUAUAAAUAAAAGGGAGUCCAUCUUUGCGAUGCUAAUUCUUGUUAUGCUUUUGCCUGUAUUUGUUUUGCUAAGCCUUUUACUAGCAUCAUUAGUUGUAAAAUCUUGCUGAUAAAGGUAACACUUGAGUGGUGCGCUCUGAAAUUGUGAUUAAAGUGCUUGAGAUGACAUUCACAGAUGCUACAAACAUCAUUUUAAUUUUAUUUGCUUUCGAUGAUCCCUAAACAGGUAGAGGAACUCCCUGCUGGAUUUCCUUUUGAAAUCCAAGA